rnacentral:rRNA from 1 species
AGUGAACGCUGGCGGUAGGCCUAACACAUGCAAGUCGAACGGCAGCACAGUAAGAGCUUGCUCUUACGGGUGGCGAGUGGCGGACGGGUGAGGAAUACAUCGGAAUCUACUUUUUCGUGGGGGAUAACGUAGGGAAACUUACGCUAAUACCGCAUACGACCUACGGGUGAAAGCAGGGGAUCUUCGCACCUUGCGCGAUUGAAUGAGCCGAUGUCGGAUUAGCUGGUUGGCGGGGUAAAGGCCCACCAAGGCGACGAUCCGUAGCUGGUGUGAGAGGAUGAUCGGCGACAUGGGAACUGGACCACGGUCCAGACUCCUACGAGAGGCAGCAGUGGGGAAUAUUGGGCAGUGGGCGCAAGCCUGAUCCAGUCAUACCGCGUGGGUGAAGAAGGCCUUCGGGUUGUAAAGCCCUUUUGUUGGUAAAGAACAGCAGCAGGUUAAUACCACGCUGUUCUGACGGUACCCAAAGAAUAAGCACCGGCUAACUUCGUG